rnacentral:rRNA from 10 species
GCUCAACUUGAAAAUCUGGUCCGAUUGGGUUCGGGCCCGAAUUGUAGUCUAUAGAAGGUGUGCCAAGCAGAGCCCAGGGAGAAUUCUUCUGGAACGUGGAGUCAUAGAGGGUGACAACCCCGUCUGUGCCUUGUGAGCCUCUGCUGUACGGUCCCCUUUCGAAGAGUCGGGUUGCUUGGGAAUGCAGCCCUAAAUGGGUGGUAAAUUCCAUCUAAAGCUAAAUAUUGGUGGGAGACCGAUAGCGAACAAGUACCGUGAGGGAAAGAUGAAAAGAACUUUGAAAAGAGAGUUAAAUAGUGCUUGAAAUUGCUGUAAGGGAAGGGGUUGGCACCAG